rnacentral:rRNA from 1 species
UACAGAGGCCUCGAGCGUUAGGCGGAAUCACUGGGCUUAAAGCGUGUGUAGGCGGAUGGUUAAGUACCUUGUGAAAUCCCACGGCUCAACCGUGGAACCGCUCGGUAUACUGGUCAUCUUGAGCCACUUAGGGGUUACCGGAACAAAUGGUGGAGCGGUGAAAUGCGUAGAUAUCGAUAGGAACUCCGGUGGCGAAGGCGGCAUACUGGACCACAUCUGACGGCUGAGGCGCGAAAGCCCAGGGGAGCAAACGGG